AGAGAAUACUUUGUUUAUUGUUAGUCUGUCAAGAAACUGAAAGUGAAUCCAAUUAUUAUUAACACUAAGUGGCUAAAGUUGGUGACUAACUGAUAAAUGUUGAGUUGAGGAUACCAUCUCAGAAUUCCUCUAUGUAUGUCCACCAAGACCCCAGAACAUAUACAAAUACAUCCAGAAGAAAACUUUGAAGUCCGGAAGCUAAAGCACAGGAGAAGAUCAAAACCUAUGCAUCCAUUUGCUAUCUGCAUUUAUUUAGUCCGAUCUAAUUAUUAAAACUUACAGGCAACUUCAGUUCAAAAAUAUUCAGUGGUGUUUGUACAAGUUAGCAUUUUCAGAAUAUUGAAGGCUGAAGUCCUAAACAAACUUAAGAAUGAAUGUUCUUUCUGAAUAAAAAAUGGCCUUUUUAAGCAAAGAGGCUUAGGAUUACUUUAUAUUAUCCACAUCCUAAUUCUGCUUAUUAAGAAACAAAACUUUAUGAGUUUUGUCGUAUAAGUUUUUUUAUUGCUGUGUCUCUCCAUUUUUUCUAUGUGAAUAAUAAACUAAGUUUACCGUUUCUCAAUAAAUGCAUAGCAUCAUUUUAACUAAUAUGGUUUUCUUGCAGGAUCU